AGGACAUCUAGGACAUGCCGGGGGCUGUUUGCUACGGCUUCAUCCCGGAGCUCCUGCUCGGGGUUGCCGGCUGCCUCUGCUGGCGUCCCUCUUCCCUUCCUUUGCCCUAGAGGCAGGGGAUGCUGCGGAAUCAGACUGGGUGCACCAAGGCGGAGGGCCAUGCCGGGCUUCGCCCUUCCUGGGUGUCCCGGAGUCCGUUCCGGAGAAACCCUGGCAUUGCCAGAACUGGGUCCCCGCACUCACUCCUCCAUAAUUCGCGGCGGAUCAGCGGGAGGAGGGCAGAGGGCGGGGGCGAGGCAGCUUCCUGGCGGGUGUGGCGCAAAGUGUGCGGGGUGUGGCGCAAAGUGCGCGGACCCGGGUCCUGGACCGAAGAUUUAGCCCAGGGUUUCGUGUGUGUUGCUCCCUGUUGCUUUCUACGGGGUCUGCGCUGGCCUCCUCCUCGGGCGACUGGGCCCUGAGGCAACAGCGCCUUCUCGAGCCCCGAGGAUUGACCGCCCCGAGCCUGCUUGGAGCAGGGCCUCUCUCCAGCGCGGUGUGAUGAAACACCAGCUGCUGUGAAGAUAUACCCUUAGAAACGAACCGUCUGUUAAUAUGCUUAUGAAAACAGGGGCUCAGAGAGGAUGUACUUUUCUCAAGACCACACAGCUGGAAAAAAACCAUUCUUCCAGGAGAGGCUCCUCCAAGCAAACUUCCCCUUACAUCUCUUACCAGAACUGGGUCACAUGCUCCCAUCUAAAACAACCACUGGCCAUUAGAAAUGGUGUUACCAUGCCUGUCUUGGACCAAUCACAUUUGAUCCUCUGAGGAUAGAGACAUGUUGCCACCUGAACAACUGUGGGGUGCUGUACUCCUGGCAAGCAGGGAGAAUGGCUGUGGCUAGGCAACUGACAGCAUCUACCACAAAUAUGUUACUCAGAAGAAGAAUCGAGGAUGGCCAUAAUUUUUAUUUAAAGAUUUCUAUUUUACAGAGGCAUAUCUGAUUAAGGGACAUUUAAACUUCCCUGUUAAACUUAUCAAGACAAAAAGACAAGGCAUCUUGCCACAUUUCUUAAAUAUUCUCUGCAGUCUCUCUUGACCUUUUCCCAGCUGUGCUGUAAACAUAAAGAUAAUAACAUAUCUGAAUAACAUUUUAUGGUGCACAGAUAAUUUUCACAUACAUUAUCCAUUUGACCCUCACCAUAACUGUGUGGGGUAGGUAAGGUACGAUUGUACUUUUCAUUAAUUUUUUUUUUUUUGAGACACAGUCUCGUUCUGUCACCCAGGCUAGAGUGCAGUGGUGCGAUCUGGGCUCACUGCAACCUCCACCUCCCAGGUUCAAGUGAUUCUCCUGCCUCAGCCUCCAAGUAGCUGGGAUUACAGGCAAGUGCCACCAUGCCUGGCUAGUUUUUGUAAUUUUUUAGUAGAGACAGGGUUUCACCAUGUUGGCCAGGCUGGUCUAGAACUCCUGACCUCAGGUGAUCCACGUGCCUCGGCCUCCCAAAGUGCUGGGGUUACAGGCAUGAGCCACUGCUCCUGGCCACUUUUCAUUAAUUUUUAUUGGACUUAGGAUUAGAAGGAUGAGCAAAUCCUACUACUUAGUGCGUGGAAUACUGGCAUCUAUUGUUUUUGCUUGGCUCCUCUCUUGUUUUAAUAAUUAACUAAUCGAUCCAUUCUCUUUUAUUGCCAUCUCCCACUCACACUUUUUCCUCCACAUAGGCAAUCAUUCUAAAUAUGUCCAAUGUUUAUCUUAUUUGUAUGCGUAUUUAUAAAGUGAAUAUUUUGUUUAGUGUGUAUGCAGUUUCGUUUGCAUAAAUUGUAAUAUUCUGUGAAUCUCAUUCUGUUUUGUACUUUUUUCAUUCUGCUCUGUUUUUAGAAGUGAUCCAUGUUGCUAUGUGUAUCUACUCCAUUGCCUUUAAAUGCUGCAUAAUACUCCACGGUGUUUGUCGAUCAUGUUUUACUCAUCUUUGCCCCCUAGUGGAAACCAUGAUGGCCUCCAACUCUGCACACAAAUAGUUUCAAACAAGAACCGCUGGUGAAAUGUGACUGCUGAUGGACCUGGGUGGGAAUUUCUCUGGGAUGCCGACUAAAAAGCAUGGUGGCUGGGUCAUAAAAUGCACACUUAAUUUGAAUAAGUGCCACCCAGUGGCUCUCCACAAAGCCUGCACUAGUCCAUUCUACUAGAAAUUAUUCACAUUUAACUGGAAACUGGGUCUUGGAGAUGUUAAGUAACUUGCUCAAGCUCACAUAAGGAGUAAAAGUGAAUUAGGACAUCCAGGACCCAAAUCCAGGCCUUGUAACUUCAGGUCAAUUUUAUUUUCCAGGGCACCACCCUCUAAGUCUCUGGAUCAUAAUAUGGAGCACUAAUAAAAAGAUUUCUUGAGGCUUUUGUUAUUUACAUAAUGAAUUUCAGAAAUGGCUUACUGGUGCUACUGGCAAGUUGCAGGCAGAAGAAAGAAUGAAAGCGAAUGGGCAUCUCAUGUUCUAUUCUCUGAUUCAACCUGUUUUGGGUCCCUUUUGACUGCUUUACCACAGUUGCUAUUACAUUAUUUUGGGAAGUAUUUAAAAAAGAAGAGAAAGUGCUGGAUAUCUGAACUCCUUUCCUCCAGUCUGCCAUGGGCCAAAAUGUAGUACCACCAUGCCUGACUAGAAAGUAAAAGAGGAAUCAUAGAAUCAGAUAGUGUUAUAACCAGAAUGGGCCUUACAGACCAUUUAGUCUAGUCCUCCCAUUUUAUAGAUGAGAAAAUGGAGGCCCAGAGAGAGGAAGACAGUUGCCUGAGGUCACACAGCUGGAAGGAGAGCAGGAUGGGCACCCAGGCUUUCUGAAAACCAGUCUCUUUGAUGCAGGUGAACCCCCACAUUGGGGCUCAGCUCAAGAGGGUUCUUAGCUUUGCUCAGGAAGGAAUUCAAGAGUGAGCUGACAGUUAAAGAAAGCAAGUUUUUAGAGCAAUAGUGUACAGCAAAAUGGCUGCUCCACAGACAGAGCAGGGCCAUCCCAUAGGCAGAGUAGCACUUGUGCAUUGCUGGCUAGCUCUAUUUAUAGCUGCUCCUAAUUAUAUGCUAAAUAAGCGGUGGGUUAUUCACAGAUUUUCUAGAAAAGGUGUGGGGAAUUUCCAGAACUGAUGGUUCCUUCCUCUUUAAACCAUGUAAGGUAACUUCUGGGUUUUGCCAUGACAUCAACUGUCAUGGUGCUGGUGGGAAGUGUUUUACAGCAUGCAAAUGUAUUAUAAUUCCUAGUCCUAACUGCUUUUGGCUGGUUCCUUUGCUACAUCCUGUUUUGAUCAGCAGUGUCAUGAAAACAAGUCCUGUUCAUCUCCUACCUCUCCUUGCCCUUUCCACUUUUCUGCACACAGCAACUUUCACCUGCGCACCCAGGAAUCCACACUUUAAGUCUUAACAACCUGAGGUGUUGUUGAGAAAAAACUACAAACAGUGGUGCGCUGGCAAAUCUUUAACAAUCACCUGGGGUGGGGUGGGGUGUGGAUAAACAAGCCUUAUUUGUAGCAUAUGGCCAAUUUCAAGCUGCCAAAGUGCUGUCACUGAACGUGAAGUAGUGGGAGCAGGGCAGCAGAGGGCCACCAAUCAGAGGCAUUUCCACCAAACAGAUGCAAUUGGCAUAAGUAACUGCAAGGGCACGGACAACCGCAAGGUCUGCUAAAAGGAUUAGGAAGUGAUGAGUUUUGAGUGUUUAUUACUUUUGGUUUUAGUGUAACUUAUUUGUAAGCUUACAUAAUUUAAUGUCUAAUAAGGGCAAUGUUUAACAAUCACUCAUGAAAUUCCUGAAAAUUGAACUGAUACGGUUUGGCUGUGUCCAAACCAAAUCUCAUCUCAAAUUGUAAUCUGAAUUAUAAUCUCCACGUGUUGGGGAGGUAUCUGGUGGGAGGUGAUUGGAUCGGGGAGGGGGGGAUUCCCCCACGAUGUUCUCAUGAUUGUGAAUGAGUUCUCACGAGAUCUGUUGGCUUUAUAAGUGGUGGUUUCCCCUGUUCUCGCUCUUUCCUGCUGCCUUGUGAGGAAGGUACUUGCUUCUCCUUUGCCUUGUGCCGUGAUUGUAAGUUUCCUGAGGCCUCCCCAACCAUGCAGAACUGUGAGUCAAUUAAACCUCUUUUCUUUAAAAAUUACCCAGUCUUGAACAGUUCUUUAUAGCAGUGUGAAAACGGACUAAUACGUGAAUACUCAGCUCUCCUGAGCUUAUGCGAGUCAGCCCCAAGACAACAUUGGCUAUAAAGGAAUGAAGCCAGCUUCUCGGUGUAGCAACCCGCCUUCCUAGUUUAUAAACUUGUCCUGAUUCUUCUGCAUACUCUUUGGUGGAAACAUAAAAUAUGAAUAUAGUGGAAAAGAGGGGCAAAAGAUAAAUGAGUUAUUCUGGAGAUAAACUUUCUGUGUAGUGGAAGUCUUAGCUCUGUAAGCUCCGAAGCUAUGAUGGUUUUAACUUUUAUUGAUGAACUUUGAAAAGAGUUGUGUUGCAUUCUUUCCUACCUCAUUACACGUGAGACAUUAUGGCUUAUUACUUUUUUAUGAAGAACCCAGGACAUGUUGAAGUGUGCAAAUCUAUUUUCCCUUGGAAUACAUGACCUCAAACUGCUAGGCUGUUGGGGCCUUUGGACUUGCUUUUUAGAGUUUUGCUUUUUAGAGUUUUUUUUCUUGCUCACUUUCCAGAAGCUCUGACUUCUUUUUACUGUCAGUGUGUCUGCCUCUAUCUUUUCCCUCCUCUUUCUAAUUGACUAGAGAACUAGACUUAUUAGAAUCAUUUAAAAAUGUCAGUAAUCUGUUGCAAUACAGGCCUAUUGAGAAAAACAUGUAAAUUUUAGUGCAUGGAUCUUGCGAUAUUUAUUUUGGAUGCUCAGAUACCUUUUGCAAUAACUUCUGGUUUUUGUAGAAUUUCUGGAGAGGUGAUAUUACUAGAUUACUGUGUUUCAGAUCAGUGAGUAUUGCUACAGUAAUGUUGUUAUAUAUAAUUAUAUACUAUAUCACCAUGCAUGAAUUCCAUUAUAAGAGGAAAAUUCAUCUCUGGGCCAGGAAAUAUGUCAUGUAAAAAGUAGAGCAGUCCUGGACUGUAUUUUGAGGAACCCAGUAACACUACUGGAACAUGAAGUGGUCCAUAUGGUGAACUUUGCAAAAUACAGUAAGACUUAAAUGGUCAAGUUUGGGGCAUGCCUCCUUGCUCUAAAAAUGGUGGUGCUUCGUCUCCUUAAACACAGACACAGGCAAUGGAUGGGGAAGGGAGAUCCAGUGAUUGAGAGUUUUCCCCUGCUGGAGGCAGGGAGGUCCCUCCACACAUCUGCCCAUCCUGGGAGUGCUGCUUGCUGGGGCUGAGAAAGGAAGUAGAUUGCACCUGGCAACCUGGCUCUGCCCUUCUCUGUGACAUUGGGACCACCAGAAAGGUUCUUGGUAUGAUUUGGAUUUGUGUCCCUGCCCAUAUUGAAUUGUAAUCCCCAGUGUUGGAGGAGGGGACUUGUGGGAGUUGAUUAGAUCAUGUGGGGUGGAUUUCCGCCUUGCUGUUCUUGUGAUAGUGAGUGACUUCUCAUAGAUCUGGUUGUUUGAAAGUGCGUAGCACCUCCCCUUUCUCUCUCUUCCUCCUGCUCCAGCCAUGUUAGACUUGCCUGCUUCCCUUUCACCUCCCACCAUGAUUGAAAGUUUCCUGAGGCCGCCUCCCCAAGCCAUGCAGCCUUGCAGAACUGUACAGCCUUGCAGAACUGUACAGCCUGCAGAACUGUGAGCCAAUUAAAC
rnacentral:lncRNA from 10 species